rnacentral:lncRNA from 1 species
GUCCUGGCAGGCUGCAGACUGCCACCCCCAGUAAAAGCUUGCUGCCUGAAUGCCUGUGUGUGCCCCCUUCUUCAGCGACCCUUUUAGGUACAUGGAUAUUCUCACUGAGGUCUGCCCACCCCCUACCAAGGUCCUGAGUGGCAAGGAACACGCCAAAUCACCCCGCUGCAGACAGGCAGGUCUGCCCAUGAUGUACUGAGGUCCCGAGUGGAACAGAACACGCUGAAUCACACCACUGCAGAUAGGCAACCACUUGGUUCCACACUACAAAGAUGCAGAGGACACCAGACCACUAGACCAAGGUACUGAGUCCCGCUGCUCCCAGCCCAGAGGUAUGGGCUUCUGAGCCACCGUCCACAGCUCCCAGUCCAGAGGAAGGGGCUUCCCGGGCACCAUCCCUCCCGCUGCUCCCAGCCCACAGGAAACGGCUUUUGGGUCACCAUCCCUACUGCUGCUCCCAGCCCCUGUCCCACCUCUCCCAGCUCAAAGGAGGUAAUCCAUGC